rnacentral:rRNA from 1 species
GAUCAUGGCUCAGAAUGAACGCUGGCGGCGUGCUUAACACAUGCAAGUCGUGCGCGAAAGCGGCUUCGGCCGCGUGUAGAGCGGCGAACGGGUGAGUAACACGUGGACAACCUGCCCAAGAGUGGGGGAUAACCUGGGGAAACUCGGGCUAAUACCGCAUACGUUCGUGGGGUUUCGGCCCUGCGCAGAAAGGUGGCCUAUGCUUGCAAGCCACCGCUCCUGGAGGGGUCCGCGUAGGAUUAGGUAGUUGGUGGGGUAAUGGCCCGCCAAGCCGACGAUCCUUAGCUGGUCUGAGAGGAUGAUCAGCCACACUGGGACUGAGACACGGCCCAGACUCCUACGGGAGGCAGCAGUGGGGAAUAUUGGACAAUGGGCGAAAGCCUGAUCCAGCAAUGCCGCGUGAGUGAUGAAGGCCUUAGGGUUGUAAAGCUCUUUUACCAGGGAUGAUAAUGACAGUACCUGGAGAAUAAGCUCCGGCUAACUCCGUG